UACAGAGGGGGCAAGCGUUGUUCGGAUUUACUGGGCGUAAAGGGCGCGUAGGCGGUAGCACAAGUCAGUUGUGAAAUCUCCGGGCUUAACUCGGAAAGGUCAACUGAUACUGUGCGACUAGAGUGCAGAAGGGGCAACUGGAAUUCUCGGUGUAGCGGUGAAAUGCGUAGAUAUCGAGAGGAACACCUGCGGCGAAGGCGGGUUGCGUGGCUGACACUGACGUGAGGCGCGAAAGCCAGGGGAGCGAACGGG
rnacentral:rRNA from 1 species